UUUCUCUGGGAGAUAGGUGCUAAUAUUAUCCCUACUUUACAGUUGAGGAAACUGAGAGAAAUCAAAAUGAAAUUAUUUCUCCAGGAUCACAAAGCUAAUGAGACUCUAAGGUCAUAUUUGAACUUAAUUCUUCUUGGUUCCCAGUCCAAUACUCAUCCAGGAACAACUGUUUCUGAACAAGACAGAAUUCUAAAAACCUUUUAACCAGGUAAUACCAUAUAUUAUUGGAAGAGCCCUAAAUCUCACUUCAUCAUAUUUCUCCUACUACUAGGUGUUUGACAAUAGGUACAUCUCUAUGGUCUCAAGUCAAAUAUAAAAGAACGAGUCAGACUAGUAAGGUCCCUAUUCAUUCUAAAUCAUAUAUUCUUUUAUUUCCCCAAACGGUUAUCUGUCAUAUUAGAAUGAAUACUAAUUAUUGGCUCCAAAGCAGAACACUGGAAAAGAAUAUAGUUCAGGUUUUGACAACUUGAAAUAAGAAGUUCAUCAGCACAGAAUAGAAAAAAAAAAGAUUCCUUUUUUUUUAUCAACAUAAGUUGCCACCACUAAAGAGAAACUAUAAAAGGCCCUCAAAACCAUAAUGAACAUAUUGUGAUGCUUCAUCUUCUUGAGCUACUUGAAGAUACUAGAGAGAAUAAUGGUUCCUGUGCUAAGCACCAUAGUUCAUGAAGGACAUAGUUGAGAGUGCCUAGAGGAGGGAAACCAGGAUGAUAAAGGGCCUAGAGUCCAUGUUACUUGAAGAUCAUUUGAAGGAACUGGAACUGUUUAAGCUGGAGAAGAAAUAAUUUAUCCAGGAGGACCAUAAUAGUUCCCUUCCAGCAUUUGAAAGGCUGUCAUAUGAAGGUAAAAGACUUUAUUUUUUUUUUUCUGUUUGACCCUACAAAGCAGAACUAGGAGUAAUGAUUGGGUGUGUGCCCCAUGUAUCCCCCAUCUUCUCUGUCUCUUGUUCUUCAUAUCUCUCAGGUUACAGCUAAAAGCCUACCUUUAUCAAGAAGAAUUAGUAUUUUAUUUCCAAAGUUAAUGCAAUGCAACUGAUAUAUAUAUAUGGAAUUUGUCUACAAUGAUUGCUUGUUGCUUCUCUCAUAUUGGAAACAGGGAUCAUUUUAUUGUUUUGGUUGGUUUUACCUUUCUUUGUAUCUCUAAUACUUAGCACACAGAACCUGGAAUGAAACAGUUGAUUGAUUAGUGUUUCUUGAUUUAAUUUUGACUUGACUUGAUGAGUGGAAUUUGAAUAGGGGCAAAAUUAGACUUUUAAAUGUUUCUAACAAAGAGUUAUCUAAAAUUAGAAUGGACUGCCUCAAGAGAAGGAGCUUCCCAGUCCUUACAGAUCUCCAAGCAGAGGCUAGGGUUUAUGGUUCAUGGGUUAUAUUUAUCAACAUCUUUCCUAAAAUGCAGUACUGAACAUAAUGUCUUAAAUCUGAUUUUACCAGGUUGUAUUCAGUGACAAUUACCUCCAUUAAAACAACAUAACUUGGGAUAAAUUUUCUUGACUUCCAUAUCAGUUUUUUGAUUUAUGUUGAAGCCAUACUUCUGCUAUUUUGUAUGUGGGAAGACAAUUUUUUUUAAACUCAGCCUUUUCAUUUGACCUUAUUAAAUUUCAUCCUAUCAAAAUUAAGCCCAAUAUUACAAUCUCUUAAUGUCUCUUUGAAACUUAUCUCUAGAUCGAGUAAGUGUUUUUCUCUGCUUUGUGCCACUUACAAAUGUGAUAUGUUCAUCAUUGCUUUUCAAGUCACUGGAAAACGUUUUGUACGUACAUUUCAUAUGUAGCAUUUUCUAGGUCACUGAUAAAGAUAUUUCACAUCAAUGGGCUGAGGAGAUAUCCUUGGGGCACUCUAACUAAUGUCUGCUGAUAAUCUGAUAUAACAGUAUCUAGUGCUCAUCAUUAUGUCAAAAAUUUACCAAACUCAUCAUGUCCAAUUAUACUGUGAUUGAGCCCAUAUCUCCAAAUAUUUUCUUGGGUAAUAUAUCUAUAUCUA